ACUUCCUGGCGCGAGGUUUCCAGCUGGAAAUACUGAUAGCGCGGCCGUGUGUACUUUCCCAAUGGUGUAAUACACCUUUCGAGAAAAGCGCCCGCGCCCCAAGUGAGCGGCGCAAGGCGUCUUGGGAUGUUUGAGAGACCGUGCUCUGUCGUCUGCUUUUUCCUCAGAGACCAGCACAGCUGGACUGAAGACCCCAGAAUACGAGAGAAAAAUCAUUAACUCGACAACACCCUGUUGGUAUAAAGGAUGGGGAUGGACGAUGGUUUUGACGAUGGAAUAUCAAGAAUCAAAAACAUUCAAUGACCC